UACGAAGGGGGCUAGCGUUGCUCGGAAUCACUGGGCGUAAAGCGCACGUAGGCGGACUCUUAAGUCGGUGGUGAAAUCCUGGAGCUCAACUCCAGAACUGCCUUCGAUACUGAGAGUCUUGAGUCCGGGAGAGGUGAGUGGAACUGCGAGUGUAGAGGUGAAAUUCGUAGAUAUUCGCAAGAACACCAGUGGCGAAGGCGGCCUCACUGGCCCGGUACUGACGCUGAACGGUGCGAAAGACGUGGGGAGC
rnacentral:rRNA from 1 species